rnacentral:rRNA from 1 species
UACAGAGGGUGCGAGCGUUAAUCGGAAUUACUGGGCGUAAAGCGCGCGCAGGCGGUCCUUCAAGUCAGAGGUGAAAGCCCAGAGCUCAACUCUGGAAUGGCCUUUGAGACUAGAGGACUUGGGUACGGGAGAGGUGAGUGGAAUUCCGAGUGUAGAGGUGAAAUUCGUAGAUAUUCGGAAGAACACCAGUGGCGAAGGCGGCUCACUGGCCCGUUACCGACGCUCAGGCGCGACAGCGUGGGGAGCAAACAGG